ACUACUGCGCUGUUUAUUUCGCUUAACCGCGCUCUGCAGGAGGAGCGUACCGGGACGCGCGGAAGAGAAUGGAUUGCCCUAACACUGUGGAAAAGAGCCCAGGAGUAGGAGAUCGGAGUGGCUACCCAUGAAACCGCGGAUGAACGAGAGGACUGCCCAGAGUAAACGUGGUUCCCCAGGCAUCUCGUGCUUUGGCUCGAGCUCCGCCCCAGAGGGAUCUGGAAGAGGAGGCGGGUUUUACCAGCUGCUGUAAGAUAUUAUCAUUACUUUGAGGUCCAUAGUUAACAGCCCACUGUGGUGGUGACUGAUGAAGCCAGUUCUUCAGUGCACUGUCACUUAAGAAAAGAUUUGGAAAGGUCUCGGACAGAGUCAUGCUUCACCUGAAGUCACCAAAUCCCGGCAAAGAUUUAGAGAUCUUACCCAGAGAUUUAUGACAAUAAGCUGCCAUACUCCAACUAUUUGAACGGCUUUCUGGCUGCUGUUUGUCACUCCCUGUGAUGCACUUUAAAAGAUAAAUUGCGUAAGAAAACUUCUAGAUUUCAUGGAGAAAUACUGACGUGAAGAGAAUUAUAAAUGUUUCCCAAGAGGUGAAUGACAUGGUUCUACAUUUGUGUGUGUGUGAGAGUUGGUGAUUUACCCUACUUACCCACCGUUCAUCAUUUUUAUCAACAUAUUCACUGCCAACAGCUACCAUGCAGACAGGCUUGUUCUGUCAACAGUCCACAAACACUGAUCAGGUGAUGCCUGAGCGUCAUGCGCCACUGAAAUCCUGAGGCGACCUAGUGUAACAGGGAUGAGGGGCCAUGCUGGAUCCUCAGAAGACAGAGAUGGGUAGGCUAGUGAACGAAUACAUGAGCAGACCUUUCGGUGACAUCCUACCUGAUGAGACACUUCAGAACUACAUCCUGAUAACUAAGCCCCAAUCCAAGGCAUUCUAGAAGAUCCUUAAUAAAAAUAAUUUAAAAUUUCCUCUACAAUUUGGGAAUAUCUAUUAAAAAGAAAAAGUGUGCAUACCACAUAACCCAGAAAUUCUCUUCCUUCAUUUCUACUGUAGAGGAAAAUCCUCUUCAAAUCACUUCUUGUAUAAAAAGGUGUACAUUGCAGUAUUUUGUGUCAAAAUGAAAAACUAUUGGA